CUGAGCAUCACAGCCAGGCAGAUACUUGCAGUGCAGGAAAGUUUAAAUCCUAAACCAAGGCACUUGAGCAAGUUUGUGUAUCCCCUUAGGACUCUUGGUGUGGAUAAUGUUCCCCAGCAGAGGCUCCACCACUGAAUCUGCUGCAUUUGUUUCAAGAUUUUCCAGCUGAUGAGGGUUUAGAGUGUGAGAAGAAGCUGGGAACAGAGCAAUCCAUCAGGAGAGGCUGCUCAGGGAGAGCAAUGCCCGAGAGAGACAGAAAAGCCUUUUCAGGGUGCAGGCUCCAGCCCCCUGCCUUCCCUGGAGAAGACACCCAUGGAACAGGGAAAAGUCCUUUAAAAACCAGUCUCUCUUUGGAAGAUCUGCUGCAAUUUAAUUCCCAGGAGAGGCCCUUCCCCAGUGCUGGGCACACACCUGUCCCUGGGCUGCUCUCUGUGACACAUCAGAGGUGUGUGAAAUCAGCCACGGUCUGCAAUCCGCAGGACGGGAACUCUGGGGUCCAGU